CGUGCAMMGGUAGCAUVVKNCAUUUGYUCUUUUARUAAGGAMUUGUAUCWACGGCAUCACGAGGGUUAUVCUGUCUCCCCCCCCCAAUCAGUGAAACUGACCUCCCCGUGAAGAGGCGGGGAUUAGUCUACAAGACGAGAAGCCCCAUGGAGCUUUAAACCCAAUGAUAACCUCUCUCUAAGUACCCCUUAAAGAUAUAGAGGGCACUAUAAAUUGGUUUUAGGUUGGGGUGACCGUGGAGUAAAACAAAACCUCCUUGACGAAUAGGAACCAUCCUAAUCUAAGAGCUACUGCUCUAAGAAUCAAGAACUUGACGUAAAAUGAUCCGKCAACCGAUCAACGAACCAAGUU
rnacentral:rRNA from 1 species